rnacentral:rRNA from 1 species
GACGAACGCUGGCGGCGUGCCUAAUACAUGCGAGUAGAACGCUGAAGGAGGAGCUUGCUUCUCUGGAUGAGUUGCGAACGGGUGAGUAACGCGUAGGUAACCUGCCUGGUAGCGGGGGAUAACUAUUGGAAACGAUAGCUAAUACCGCAUAAUAGUAGAUGUCGCAUGACAUUUGCUUAAAAGGUGCAAUUGCAUCACUACCAGAUGGACCUGCGUUGUAUUAGCUAGUUGGUGAGGUAACGGCUCACCAAGGCAACGAUACAUAGCCGACCUGAGAGGGGGAUCGGCCACACUGGGACUGAGACACGGCCCAGACUCCUACGGGAGGCAGCAGUAGGGAAUCUUCGGCAAUGGACGGAAGUCUGACCGAGCAACGCCGCGUGAGUGAAGAAGGUUUUCGGAUCGUAAAGCUCUGUUGUAAGAGAAGAACGAGUGUGAGAGUGGAAAGUUCACACUGUGACGGUAUCUUACCAGAAAGGGACGGCUAACUACGUG